GUCGAACGAAGCACAGAGAGCAGAUUACUUCGGUUUGAAGCUUUCUGUGACUGAGUGGCGGACGGGUGAGUAACGCGUGGAUAACCUGCCUCACACAGGGGGAUAACAGUUAGAAAUGACUGCUAAUACCGCAUAAGCGCACAGUCUCGCAUGGGACAGUGUGAAAAACUGAGGUGGUGUGAGAUGGAUCCGCGUCUGAUUAGGCAGUUGGCGGGGUAACGGCCCACCAAACCAACGAUCAGUAGCCGGCCUGAGAGGGUGAACGGCCACAUUGGGACUGAGACACGGCCCAAACUCCUACGGGAGGCAGCAGUGGGGAAUAUUGCACAAUGGGGGAAACCCUGAUGCAGCGACGCCGCGUGAAGGAAGAAGUAUUUCGGUAUGUAAACUUCUAUCAGCAGGGAAGAAAAUGACGGUACCUGACUAAGAAGCCCCGGCUAACUACGUGCCAGCAGCCGCGGUAAUACGUAGGGGGCAAGCGUUAUCCGGAUUUACUGGGUGUAAAGGGAGCGUAGGCGGCGAUGCAAGUCAGAAGUGAAAGCCCGGGGCUCAACUCCGGGACUGCUUUUGAAACUGUAUGGCUAGAUUGCAGGAGAGGCAAGUGGAAUUCCUAGUGUAGCGGUGAAAUGCGUAGAUAUUAGGAGGAACACCAGUGGCGAAGGCGGCUUGCUGGACUGUAAAUGACGC
rnacentral:rRNA from 1 species